UACAGAGGUGGCAAGCGUUGUUCGGAAUUACUGGGCGUAAAGGGCGCGUAGGCGGCCUCGCAAGUCCCGUGUGAAAUCCCUCGGCUCAACUGAGGAAUGGCACGGGAAACUGCGGGGCUUGAGUUCGGGAGAGGGAAGCGGAAUUCCGGGUGUAGCGGUGAAAUGCGUAGAUAUCCGGAGGAACACCGGUGGCGAAGGCGGCUUCCUGGACCGAUACUGACGCUGAGGCGCGAAAGCUGGGGGAGCAAACGGG
rnacentral:rRNA from 1 species